rnacentral:rRNA from 1 species
CGCUAGCGGCAGGCCUAAUACAUGCAAGUCGAAGGACUAUAUGUUUUUCGGAAUAUAUAUUAGUGGCGCACGGGUGAGUAACACGUACAUAACUUGCCCUCAAGCGGGGGAUAGCCUUGGGAAACCUGAGAGUAAUACCCCCAUAGAAUUAUUGGACGGCAUCGUUUGAUAAUUAAAACUACGGUGUUUGGGGAUAGAUGUGCGUCUGAUUAGCUAGUUGGUGAGGUAACUGCUCACCAAGGCGACGAUCAGUAGGGGGCGUGAGAGCGUGGCCCCCCACACGGGUACUGAGACACGGACCCGACUCCUACGGGAGGCAGCAGUAAGGAAUAUUGGUCAAUGGAGGGAACUCUGAACCAGCCAUGCCGCGUGAAGGAUGACGGCCCUCUGGGUUGUAAACUUCUUUUGGAUGGGGCGAAAAAACGGGAUUUAUCCUGGACUGACGGUACCAUCAGAAUAAGCACCGGCUAACUCCGUG